UACAGAGGUCCCGAGCGUUUGUUCGGAUUCACUGGGUGUAAAGGGUGCGUAGGUGGUGGGAUAAGUCGGAUGUGAAAUCUCGGAGCUUAACUCCGAAACUGCAUUGGAAACUGUCCUGCUAGAGGGUUGGAGGGGGGACUGGAAUACUUGGUGUAGCAGUGAAAUGCGUAGAUAUCAAGUGGAACACCGGUGGCGAAGGCGAGUCCCUGGACAACACCUGACACUGAGGCACGAAAGCUAGGGGAGCAAACAGG
rnacentral:rRNA from 1 species